rnacentral:rRNA from 1 species
GAUCAUGGCUCAGGAUGAACGCUAGCGAUAGGCUUAACACAUGCAAGUCGAGGGGCAGCAUGGUCUUAGCUUGCUAAGACUGAUGGCGACCGGCGCACGGGUGCGUAACGCGUAUGCAACUUGCCUCACAGAGGGGGAUAACCCGUCGAAAUACGGACUAAUACCGCGUACACUCCACUUUGGGCAUCCAAAGUAGAGGAAAUGAAAUUCGCUGUGAGAUAGGC